UGGUUUUAGGAAAACUACACACGGAGGUUGCUGGAGUCCAGGGCCCAUGGGGGCAGCAUGCACCUACUUACCUGCUCUCGGAGCUCUGAGUGGGACAGUCUGAGAAAGGAGACAGUAAAAUCAUUGAGCAACUAUCAAGCCUCCUCGCUAAAAGGAGACCAAGCAAGGCCGUCCAGAGGAGCAGAAAGAAUUGACUUUGGCUCCGAAGUCCCACACACAGCCAGGCUGUGUCUAUGACAGGAACUACAACUGAUGAUAAAACUUUCCCUCUGAGCAAACAUUGACUCUCAGGAUCCUCCGUGCAACAUAUUUUCAACUGCCUGCACCUGGUAAUAGGUAAUGAAACCUAUGUGCCGCCACUCCUGAUACUCACAUGGUGACAAAGAAACCUUGAAGACUUUUAUGUGCUUGAUUCCACUGAACCUCAGAAGACAAAUCAAGAAGCCCAGAAAGAAUUCCCAGAGAUUCUAAAAAAACUCAAUGAAAUGACUUCUUCAGACUGUUAGACGAACUUCUGUUCCGUAGAGCCCCAGAGCAAGCCUGAAAUCACCAAGACCUGCGACUUUUAUUGCAGAAGUAAAGAAGCAACUAAAUUACCCCAUAUAUAUACCUAAUUGUUUCAUUAGGCUGUAAUAAAC